CUAGCAUAUCAAUAAGCGGAGGAAAAGAAACUAACAAGGAUUCCCCUAGUAACUGCGAGUGAAGCGGGAAAAGCUCAAAUUUAAAAUCUGGCGGUCCUUGGCCGUCCGAGUUGUAAUCUAGAGAAGUGUUACCCGCGCUGGACCGUGUACAAGUCUCCUGGAAUGGAGCGUCAUAGAGGGUGAGAAUCCCGUCUCUGACACGGACUACCAGGGCUUUGUGGUAUGCUCUCAAAGAGUCGAGUUGUUUGGGAAUGCAGCUCAAAAUGGGUGGUAAAUUCCAUCUAAAGCUAAAUAUUGGCGAGAGACCGAUAGCGAACAAGUACCGUGAGGGAAAGAUGAAAAGAACUUUGGAAAGAGAGUUAAACAGUACGUGAAAUUGCUGAAAGGGAAACGCUUGAAGUCAGUCGCGUUGGCCGGGAAUCAACCUUGCUUUUUGCUUGGAGUACUUUCUGGUUGACGGGUCAGCAUCAAUUUUGACCACUGGAAAAGGUCUUGGGGAAUGUGGCAGCUCCGGCUGUGUUAUAGCCCCUUGUCGCAUACAGUGGUUGGGAUUGAGGAACUCAGCACGCCGCAAGGCCGGGUUUCGACCACGUUCGUGCUUAGGAUGCUGGCAUAAUGGCUUUAAGCGACCCGUCUUGAAACACGGACCAAGGAGUCUAACAUGCCUGCGAGUGUUUGGGUGGAAAACCCGAGCGCGUAAUGAAAGUGAAAGUUGAGAUCCCUGUCGUGGGGAGCAUCGACGCCCGGACCAGAACUUUUGGGACGGAUCCGCGGUAGAGCAUGUAUGUUGGGACCCGAAAGAUGGUGAACUAUGCCUGAAUAGGGUGAAGCCAGAGGAAACUCUGGUGGAGGCUCGUAGCGAUUCUGACGUGCAAAUCGAUCGUCAAAUUUGGGUAUAGGGGCGAAAGACUAAUCGAACCAUCUAGUAGCUGGUUCCUGC
rnacentral:rRNA from 1 species